GUGGAUUAGAUACCCGGGUAGUCCACGCCCUAAACGAUGUUUACUUGCUGUUGGGGGCAACCUUAGUAGCGAAGCUAACGCGAGAAGUAAACCGCCUGGGGAGUACGGUCGCAAGAUUAAAACUCAAAGGAAUUGACGGGGACCCGCACAAGCGGUGGAUGAUGUGGAUUAAUUCGAUGCAACGCGAAAAACCUUACCUGCUCUUGACAUGCUAGGAAGAAGCUAGAGAUAGCUUUGUGCCUUCGGGAACCUAGACACAGGUGCUGCACGGCUGUCGACAGCU
rnacentral:rRNA from 1 species